rnacentral:rRNA from 1 species
AGCGAACGCUAGCGGCGGGCUUAACACAUGCAAGUCGAGCGCGUGGCUUCGGCCACGAGCGGCGAACGGGUGAGUAACACGUAGGUCAUCUGCCCUUUGGUGGGGAAUAACCCGAGGAAACUCGGGCUAAUACCGCAUACUGCCUUCGGGUCAAAGGCUUCGGCCGCCAGAGGAUGAGCCUGCGUCGCAUUACCUAGUUGGUGGGGUAAUGGCCCACCAAGGGGACGAUGCGUAGCUGGUCUGAGAGGACGACCCGCCACACUGGAACUGAGACACGGUCCAGACUCCUACGGGAGGCAGCAGUGGGGAAUAUUGCGCAAUGGGCGAAAGCCUGACGCAGCCACGCCGCGUGAGCGAUGAAAGGCCUCGGUCGUAAAGGACUCUGUGGGAGGAGAAGAAUAAAGACAGUGAAGAAGCAGG